GUGAAUCAUCGAAUUUUUGAACGCAAAUUGCACUCUCUUCGGAGAGUAUGCCUGUUUGAGGGUCAGCCUAAAAAAAAUCGACAUAGUCGCCGUUUCGCGGUGACAUUCGUCGGAAAUUGGGUCAUCUUAAACCUUUGGGUUCUAAGUGGCUUAAAAUUUUCUUUACGAUUCUACGAAGGUUCCUAAGAUUUAUUUCUUAUACGUUUACGGUAGU
rnacentral:misc_RNA from 1 species